rnacentral:rRNA from 1 species
UACGUAGGGUGCGAGCGUUAAUCGGAAUUACUGGGCGUAAAGCGUGCGCAGGCGGAUUGUUAAGCAAGAUGUGAAAUCCCCGGGCUUAACCUGGGAAUGGCAUUUUGAACUGGCAAGCUAGAGUGUGGCAGAGGGGGGUGGAAUUCCAAGUGUAGCAGUGAAAUGCGUAGAUAUUUGGAGGAACACCAAUGGCGAAGGCAGCCCCCUGGGUUAACACUGACGCUCAUGCACGAAAGCGUGGGGAGCAAACAGG